UAAAGAUGGCGGCGGAGGAACCUCAGCAGCAGAAGCAGGAGCCGCUGGGCAGUGACUCUGAAGGUGUUAACUGUCUGGCCUAUGAUGAAGCCAUUUUGGCUCAACAGGACCGAAUUCAGCAAGAGAUUGCUGGUGUCAGAGCGGCUGGAACUCUCAGUCCUGUACAAAGAGGAUGCUGAGGAUGACAGCAUCUACCAACGGAAGAUCAAGGACCUCCACAAAAAGUACUCACUCAUACGGAAGACCCGGCCUGAUGACAAUUGCUUCGGCUUCUCCCACUUAGAGGCACUGCUAGAUGACAGCAAGGAACUGCAGCGGUUCAAAGCUGUGUCUGCCAAGAGCAAAGAGGACCUGGUGUCCCCGGGCGUCACUGAAUUCACAAUCGAGGACUUGCACAACAUGUUCAUGGACCUAAUCGAGCAGGUGGAGAAGCAGACCUCAGUAGCUGACCUGCUGGCCUCCUUCAACGACCAGAGCACCUCAGACUACCUUAUGAUCUACCUGCGACUGCUCACCUCAGGCUACCUGCAACGGGAGAGCAAGUUCUUUGAGCACUUCAUAGAGGGUGGCCAGACUGUUAAGGAGUUCUGCCAGCAGGAGGUGGAACCCAUGUGCAAGGAGAGCGACCAUAUUCACAUCAUCACACUGGCCCAGGCCCUCAGUGUGUCCAUCCAAGUGGAAUACAUGGACCAGGGUGAGGGCGGCACCACCAACUCACACGUCUUCCCUGAGGGCUCAGACCCCAAAGUCUACCUUCUCUACCAACCUGGACACUGCGAUAUCCUCUACAAAUAGGGCCAGCUGGCCUCUUGUGUCCUGCCUGCCUCCCCCUGCCAGGCGCUAGACCUGUACAGAGGGUUUUUU